GCAAGUGCUCACCGUCCAGUCCAGUCGAAGCCCUCAACCUGAACAACCUUGCAGGAUCUGCCUUGGAAAUGGAUUUGAAAGACAGGAAUGUCAAAAGUGGUUUUUUCAACUUGGGCUGCAAUCUUAAAUAAAAUCCAAACCAUCGACAACUCAAGGGCAAGGAGAAUGAUACUAUUGACUUUUUUGUUAGUGUAAAAAUUAUUAAUUGAUAUGUUAAUUUAUAGGGUAAAUUUCUUAAACUACUGUUUGCUAAAUCUUAACGGAAUGGCUGAAAUGUCCAUUUUACCCUUUAACUCAAACCUAGGAUCGAAAGCUAAAGCAAAAGUUUGGUGAGAAGGAGGUGAAGAAAGUAAAAGGAGCUGGUUCCCUUGAAUCUGACAAGAAAUCAAAAAAAUCCCCUGUUGCUGCUACAGAGACUUAGAAGAAGAGAUCAGUUGACAGAUCCAGUGACUUCUCCAGAUCCGGUGACUUCUCCAAUGGAAAGGAUCUCUCCAGAAAUCCUUCCAUCUACUGCAACCGUCGAAGCCAGGCGGAGCCCUAUUUUGCUCGAGGGGGAGAGAGGUUGGAUGUGGAGGGGUCCGUCGUUGCUACAACUUGCAAAAGAGGCAGUAAUGAAACAGGAACGAGAGGGAGAAAGAACGAAGGGAAUGGGGAAGAGAAAAAACGAAAGGGACAAAGAGAGAGAAGGAGGGAGGGAGAGGGAUCAGAUGUGGAGAGGUCCAUUGCAGCAGCGGCGGUGAUGAAACAGGGGCGAGAGGGAGAGAGAACGAAGGAACGGGGGGAGAGAGAGAAGUUAGUAGUCAUGGAUUCGUCCCUGUUUUCAAUCCUUCUUAAAUCCAUCAAAGAACUGGUUCAAUGAAAGCCCUCUCCAAACGCCUCGGGAAAUACGGGCUUCGAUAUGAUGACCUCUACGACCUGAUGUACGAUUUGGACAUAAAGAAGCACUGGCUCGCCUUCCUUGUGAGAUCGUUGACGCAAGGAUUCAGCGUCUGGUAUGCAGAUGUCGGUGCCAGAGUUAACCAGUAAACAAGGUACUUAGACAGAAUCGUUUUUCCGAAACGAGGGCACUUUCGAACAUAAAAGGGGGCUACAUAACAGGGGGUAGCCCAUCCCCCAACCCAAGUGCAGGCAGGACUCGACAAGUCUCCACUACGACCAGCAGGAGACCUUACUAACCAGCUGGUUAGCACCUUGCUUAUUUUUCACAAUCUCUUGUUUCACUAUAAUUGUCAUCACAUGCCUAGAGGCAUUGGGGGGUUUCUCACCUUUCAAGAAAAGUGAUCAUUGACAAUAUUGUGUCAUUACUUUGUUUAUUUGCUUGAAUACAGUGUGUAGAAAUCCUCAUUUGCUUGGAUUCAUUAUGGUAUUGACUUGUUGCUUUCUUUAUUUGUUUGAAUUCGUGCCAUAUGAAAAUUCGUGAUUUUAAAAACUGCAUGCUGCUUUGAUGAAUGGAUUUGAUUAUAUUAUGUAUUGAAUAAUGAAAUUUAUGAUAAGAAGUUAUGCCUUCUCAUGAAACUAAUGAUUUAAUGUUUUUUACAUGUAAAAUUCAUUAUUGAUAACGUUCUUAGUAUUUACCAAUACAAAAUAAUAAGAAAUUGAAAAUACGGCACAGGUAAACACGGAUCACAUCCAAUAAGUUGUAGAUUUAUUUGUCAAAUCCAUGAAUACAUAACCUUCAGCAUUAGAGUCCAAGAUGCAAUAUUUGCUCAUCCCUUGGUAGUGGCAAAAAUAACUAUGCAGAAUGAAAGACCAGUCACAACAUACGGAAGUGCAGAAGCAUGCAUCAUAAAACUUUUAUAAAAACAGUGCAGACUUGAUGACAGUCUGGCACUGGAAUUAGUUAUCACUCAAAUUAGAAUCAUCGUUUAGCCCUCAAAAACCAUGACCAGAAAAACCCAUAAACAAGGAUGACUUAAAUGUAGGCCUGAAUGUUCACCACUUCAUUGAGAUACAGGGCAUGUCAGCAUGUGUGAUUAGUGAUUACUUACCACCAAGAAAGAUAAAAACCAUGGACAGAGAGAGAACAAAGAAGAAUAACAUUCAAAAGCAGAAACCUUUUCAAGCAAAGAACUCGUGUUCAAACAGAACAAGACUAGAUAAACAAGGAUGACUUGAAUGUAGGCCUGAAUAUUCACCACUUCAUUGAGAUACAGGGCACGUCAGCAUGUGUGAUUAGUGAUUACUUACCAUCAAGAAAGAUAAAAAAUCAUGGACAGAGAGAGAACAAAGAAGGAUAACAUUCAAAAGCAGAAACCUUUUCAAGCAAAGAACUCGCGUUCAAACAGAACAAGACUAGAUAAGCUUAAAUUAACUCCCACAGGUAAGGUAGCCA